GAUGAAGAACGUAGCGAAAUGCGAUAAGUAAUGUGAAUUGCAGAAUUCAGUGAAUCAUCGAAUCUUUGAACGCACAUUGCGCCCCCUGGCAUUCCGGGGGGCAUGCGUGUUCGAGCGUCAUUACAACCCUCAAGCUCUGCUUGGUAUUGGGCUCUGCCGGUCCCGGCAGGCCUUAAAAUCAGUGGCGGCGCCACUCGGCUUCAAGCGUAGUAAUUCUUCUCGCUUCGGAGACCCGGGUGCGUGCUAGCCAGCAACCCCCAACUUUCUCAGGUUGACCUCGGAUCAGGUAGGGAUACCCGCUGAACUUAAGCAUAUCAAUAAGCGGAGGA
rnacentral:misc_RNA from 1 species